AGACCCGAAACCCGGUGAUCUAGCCAUGGGCAGGUUGAAGGUUGGGUAACACUAACUGGAGGACCGAACCGACUAAUGUUGAAAAAUUAGCGGAUGACCUGUGGCUGGGGGUGAAAGGCCAAUCAAACCGGGAGAUAGCUGGUUCUCCCCGAAAGCUAUUUAGGUAGCGCCUCGUGAAUUCAUCUCCGGGGGUAGAGCACUGUUUCGGCUAGGGGGCCAUCCCGGCUUACCAACCCGAUGCAAACUGCGAAUACCGGAGAAUGUUAUCACGGGAGACACACGGCGGGUGCUAACGUCCGUCGUGAAGAGGGAAACAACCCAGACCGCCAGCUAAGGUCCCAAAGUCAUGGUUAAGUGGGAAACGAUGUGGGAAGGCCCAGACAGCCAGGAUGUUGGCUUAGAAGCAGCCAUCAUUUAAAGAAAGCGUAAUAGCUCACUGGUCGAGUCGGCCUGCGCGGAAGAUGUAACGGGGCUAAACCAUGCACCGAAGCUGCGGCAGCGAACGUAUCACCCAAGACAACUUUACGGAGUUGACGAUUGACGGAGCGAAGCGACGUCAAAGCGUUCAUUAAAGUCGAGUUGGCUUAGGGAUACGUUCGUUGGGUAGGGGAGCGUUCUGUAAGCCUGUGAAGGUGUGUCGUGAGGCAUGCUGGAGGUAUCAGAAGUGCGAAUGCUGACAUAAGUAACGAUAAAGCGGGUGAAAAGCCCGCUCGCCGGAAGACCAAGGGUUCCUGUCCAACGUUAAUCGGGGCAGGGUGAGUCGACCCCUAAGGCGAGGCCGAAAGGCGUAGUCGAUGGGAAACGGGUUAAUAUUCCCGUACUUGGUGUUACUGCGAAGGGGGGACGGAGAAGGCUAUGUUGGCCGGGCGACGGUUGUCCCGGUUUAAGCGUGUAGGUGUGUGUUCCAGGUAAAUCCGGUUCACUUUAACACUGAGGCGUGACGACGAGGCACUACGGUGCUGAAGCAACAAAUGCCCUGCUUCCAGGAAAAGCCUCUAAGCAUCAGGUAACACGAAAUCGUACCCCAAACCGACACAGGUGGUCAGGUAGAGAAUACCAAGGCGCUUGAGAGAACUCGGGUGAAGGAACUAGGCAAAAUGGUGCCGUAACUUCGGGAGAAGGCACGCUGACACGUAGGUGAAGUGAUUUACUCAUGGAGCUGAAGUCAGUCGAAGAUACCAGCUGGCUGCAACUGUUUAUUAAAAACACAGCACUGUGCAAACACGAAAGUGGACGUAUACGGUGUGACGCCUGCCCGGUGCCGGAAGGUUAAUUGAUGGGGUCAGCGUAAGCGAAGCUCCUGAUCGAAGCCCCGGUAAACGGCGGCCGUAACUAUAACGGUCCUAAGGUAGCGAAAUUCCUUGUCGGGUAAGUUCCGACCUGCACGAAUGGCGUAAUGAUGGCCAGGCUGUCUCCACCCGAGACUCAGUGAAAUUGAACUCGCUGUGAAGAUGCAGUGUACCCGCGGCAAGACGGAAAGACCCCGUGAACCUUUACUAUAGCUUGACACUGAACAUUGAGCCUUGAUGUGUAGGAUAGGUGGGAGGCUUUGAAGUGUGGACGCCAGUCUGCAUGGAGCCGACCUUGAAAUACCACCCUUUAAUGUUUGAUGUUCUAACGUGGACCCGUAAUCCGGGUUGCGGACAGUGUCUGGUGGGUAGUUUGACUGGGGCGGUCUCCUCCUAAAGAGUAACGGAGGAGCACGA
rnacentral:rRNA from 1 species